AGGUUGACCUCGGAUCAGGUAGGGAUACCCGCUGAACUUAAGCAUAUCAAUAAGCGGAGGAAG
rnacentral:rRNA from 1 species